UAUGCCACCCUCUCCCUAAUCCAUGGUAGUCUGUCUCCGGCGUCUGUGACCUCAGCCCAGUAGAGCCCUCAGUGACUCAAGAGUGGUCCCCACAGCUGUCUGCUCUGAUUACACCUCACCCUGUAGGCACAGAUGGCAGCUCCUGUAAUAGACACCUUCCACAGGUAAUCUUCUCAUCAACAACAACAGCAAGCGCUCGGGCCCUGCAGGAUAGCUGGCUCACACCAGGGGGUUUUCCUGAGCUGAUGAAGUCAGUAGAGUAUUACACAACACAGCCCAAACAAUGCAGUCCAUUUAACCCCAAUCCAGCACUCUUGUACCUUUUUCUGUCUUUACACGGAGCUCCCAAUUCUUUACUAAUUACAGAUUUUAACAUAAAAUACAGAAUACAGAAAGGUAGUCAUGAGGCACAUGUAAUACAUUUAUUUCAACCAGAUCAGUCUUGAAUAACUUGAUCCAAAGUGGAUCAGUGGAAUUAUCAACCAUUCAUCAUGACUGGACUUGGGGAAGCAGACAGGAUAGAGGAGGGGUGAUCCAAAAAGCCUUGUCCUAUGAAAAUAAAGGAGAGACACAACACUGUCCAAAAUAUGGAACAGACUCAAAUACAGCACUUUCUGCAUUCUUAUUUUAUACAUCACCUACAAGUAGAAUUAGGCAGUUAGCAGACGUGUAGACAUGUAAAUGUGCAUCUGGUAGUGAAAUUAUUAAAUUAAACAAUUAAGGCUAUGCUGCUGUGAAGGGUCCACAGUGCAUUGUGACUGGGCUCUGUAUGGAGCUGUUAUCCAAAACCGGCAGCAUUUCAAGGCAUCAUAAUACUGUUCUCAAUGUGUCUGCAGACCGCUUUCUCUCUAGUGCUUUUGGUCUCUCUCUUUGAUCCCACCUCCAUUCGUCUCUCCCCCCCUCUGCCUGCUUGUUAGUGGGGCUGCAGUGUGUUUUUCAGUGUCUCGGAGUUGGAAGAAAACCUAAGUUCUUUUCCAGACCUCCGCUGUUGACCAAUCAGGCCCCGCAGUACCCCCGGCUGGGUCGUGAUAUGUUUAGUUACGGCUCAGCCAGGAGUCGUGUUGGACACCUGCUUUAUAUAUCAGGGAGGCGGGGAAAGCGCCGAUUUUGAUCUGGGAGGCUGAGCAUGCCAGGCUGUCCUGGCUCUGCUUGCAGUGGCUGGGCACCGGUAAUGUCAGCAGGUGUUACUUUUUUUUUUCCCUCCAUUUCCAGGCAGUGGUGGUAUUGAAUAAAAAGGAUUUUGCAGAUGGGGAGACAACAAAGCGGCACAAUAAAAACUGAGGGGGCGCCCCGAGACCCCACCUGGCAUGUUUGUGUUCCCCUGUGGGAUGUUCCCCAGGCACGGUGUGUGGGGAGCAAGCCAGCACAACACCGACUUAGGGGCAACCAGCCUGGAAAAACAGCCCCCCACUUUCAUACACAUGAUUUCCGAGCUGCGUUCCCCCCCCUGGCCUUUAGUUCUGUAUUGUUCCGCCUUUCGGAUUUCAGCACUGGUCUGUUUUCUUGACCGUGAGCGGGAGCCUGGAAGUCGCAUUACUCAACGUGAGGCGCCUGGCUGGGGGAGCUGAGCACGUGUGCAGGUUUGAAAUGUGCCGUUGAAGCUUCUUUCUGUCGGCGGUGCUGAUAACGAACGCUCCUUGGCUGCCCCCGGUUCUUGCCACACCUAUCCAAACGGCACCUUGACCAAAGUGACUCUGAAGCUCCAGGAAAAGUGAAACCGAGCCUCAGUGUCUCCUCAGUUUUGUUUCGACUGAGCCCAGUUAGCUGCUUAGUUCGUACACGUCACACAAAUACGCCUCAUCAUUUUGAUUCAUAGUAGGCAAUGCCACACCCACACCCCUUUCCUAGAGACCCCCACCUCACCACCCAAAUAAACCAUUUCUUCCAGCUUCUCCAGUUAAAAGAAAUGUAUCGACAUGCCUGUCAAUACAGGUCAGAAACUGAUGUCUGAGGAGGAAAGAGAGUAGUUAAUAGUUGCCUUACCUUUGAUCCUCACCAGAGCAAGUGGACGGACAAUGGAUUGCACACUGUUUAUAUCAAAAAUUAAAGAGAAGAGUAGGGUAGUGGCAAAUUCUAAAAAUCAAGCAGGGAAAGUAUUAUUUAUUGGAUGGAGACUUGUCAAGGAAUGAUUGUAGCAGUAUUUCAGGGAUGUCAGAAAAAACUUAGGAUUUCUUCUGGAGUUGAUGAAAUGCCGGAGUUUGGGGCUCCUAGAAACCGUUAUUUUAACAGGUAGGGGUCUUGUGAUGUAAAAUCAUAUAGGUUUUAAUAAGGCAAAGAAGUUGCACUAUUUAGAAUAGGAUCAGCUGCAAGUCAGUGAAUUUAGGGACAGAAGAACAGUUACAAACAGAGGUAGUAAUUGAAUUUAUCACACAAUCAAUGUUGUUGAUUUUAUACUGGUAUAUAAUUCUUGUUAUUAUUUCGGUUACUCAUUAUUCAAAUUACAGCAUUCUCUAAAGGAAAGAACAUGCACAUCAACCUCCAUGCUUGUAAAACAUUUCUGCAUUAAGUGUUAACCCUUUCUCUCUGGCAGGGUGCAGACUCAGGUGGAUGAGGUGAUCGAUGUCAUGCAGGAGAACAUCACUAAGGUGAUCGAGAGAGGAGAGCGACUGGAUGAGCUGCAGGA